UACGAAGGGGGCGAGCGUUGUUCGGAGUUACUGGGCGUAAAGGGCGCGUAGGCGGCGAUCCAAGUUAGGCGUGAAAGCCCCGGGCUUAACCUGGGAAUUGCGCUUAAGACUGGACUGCUUGAGUGCGGGAGAGGUGAGUGGAAUUCCCAGUGUAGAGGUGAGAUUCGUAGAUAUUGGGAAGAACACCAGUGGCGAAGGCGGCUCACUGGACUGGUACUGACGCUGAGGCGCGAAAGCGUGGGGAGCAAACAGG
rnacentral:rRNA from 1 species